rnacentral:lncRNA from 1 species
AUCAAUCCUAUUUGUUUCUAAUUAAACCUAACUAAAAUUCCUAAUUCUAAGAACAAAAAUAAAAAUCCUAAUUAAUUCUAAGGAAAAUUCUAUUUAAAUCCUAAUACGCUAAUUAAAUCCUCAAAUCAAGAUUUAUUAACCUAAUUAAACCAACAAUCUAAUUAGCCUAAUAAAAAAUUCAAAACAAUAAAAGAAAAUCAAAGAAAACAAAUAAAAUUGGAAAAAGGGGUGUCAUGGCUAACUAAGGUGUGAAU